CCUACGGGGGGCAGCAGUGGGGAAUAUUGCACAAUGGGGGAAACCCUGAUGCAGCGACGCCGCGUGAAGGAAGAAGGCUUUCGGAUCGUAAACUUCUAUCAGCAGGGAAGAAUAAAGUGACAGUACCAGACUAAGAAGCCCCGGCCAACUACGUGCCCGCGGGCGGGGUAACACGGAGGGGGGAAGCGUUAUCCGGAAUCACGGGGUGUGAAGGGGGCGUAGGGGGCAGGGUAAGUCAGAUGUGAAAGCACGGGGCUUCAACCGGGGGUUGCAUUUGAAACUGUCGUACUAGAGUGCAGGAGAGGAAAGUGGAAUUCCUAGUGUAGCGGUGAAAUGCGUAGAUAUUGGGAAGAACACCAGUGGCGAAGGCGGCUUUCUGGACUGUAACUGACGCUGAGGCACGAAAGCGUGGGGAGCGAACAGGAUUAGAUACCCCGGUAGUC
rnacentral:rRNA from 1 species